AAUAAAAUGCCUGAAAAAAGGAUUACUUUGAUAGAGUAAAUAAUGUACAAAAAAUACUUUUAUUA
rnacentral:tRNA from 1 species